GAACCUACCUUCCUGACCCUGCAGAGGAGAAAUGGAGCCAGGAGCUUUGCGACUGUAAGACUUGCAAAUAUCUGAAGGAGGGCUGACCCACCACAGACAGCAGAAGCCAUCUACCUCUUGGGAAUCAUUGAAAGCCACAACAGGUCAGUGCUACUUUGAUGUGUAAGUUGUAACCUCCCGUUGGGAACAGAACUAAAUUGAUCUAGCCCUCCUCUCCACACUUGGCUUUCUCUUUCCUUGCUGUGGUUGGACACAGGUGAGCAAUGGCUUCUUAAGCUGGACAUCCCUAGAGUUCUCUAAAGCUCCACUGCUGGCUACUCAGAGGGCCUCUUUGGCCACGUGGUAUUCAGGAGGAAGUGUGCUCAGCCCUCUUGAGAGUCCUUGACAGGUGAGGUGGCAAGGGAGAUUAUCCACUUUUUGCAGCAGAUUUUGCCUCAAGUGACUCACACGGAGGGCUUGGGAGCCUGGUUCUAUUUUGGGAAGGCUCUCAGUCCCCUCUGGUUAUCAGUGCUCACAGCAGCACCGGUUAUCUGGGAGCAAGCCCGGGGCAGAGUGUGAAGGGAGGAAGGGCCGUCUAGUUACUCUUGAGUGGGAAGAGGGAGCUGUGACAAGUGAGAAGAGAGGAGCUGGCCAGGCCAGAAGUUCUGAAAGACUGGCAGGUUUACUCUACUGGUGGGACCCCUGAUAGUUCCCAAAGAACCCUGCUGGGGGACCAUGUGUGACUGGGGUUCUGGGUCUUCUAACAAGUAAGAACACACUGCAAUAGAAAGCCUGGCUUCUCGUUGCUUGCCACCUCUGGGAACUUUUGCCACAAUUUGUAAAACUAUGCCUCAUUGUUGAAACAGCCUCAGGCUACCAGUAUAAAGGGAGUGACAUUAACCAAAAUACAUAAACACCGUGAAAGGGACUGCCUUCUCAUCUAAGUUCCAAGAACAAUGGGGGAAAAUCUGCCUUUCUGCCAUCAGAGAGUUUCUCUGUGGAUGCUGGAAUCUGCCAUACACUUACCAGACUGAAUUGGUCUGGAAGAUGAUAUCUCUUUCUAAAGCGUUGUUAAGGAGGUGAAAUCUCAUGUGCAGGCGCAUCUCAGGUGUCACAGGAAGCUGGGAAAAUGGCCUCCCAACCCCUGAAAGAGGGAGGAAAGAAGGGAAGAGACUUCCAGCCCCAUAUAACUGUCUACACAUAGCUGAGAGGCAUCACCUCAUGGCUUCCUGCCAUGGAAUGGAGGUGGCCUACCACCUCUGUCAUGGGUGACAGCAUAGGGGUAGAUGGAGGGGGGGGGGGUGAUAGCACUGAAUUCUAUCUAGUGCCCUCUGCUGGCCAUCAUUGGAGUGUGCCUGGAGUUCUUCCUUGAGAAACACUAUGGGCUGGCUUCUGACCUCUAGGACGGAGCUGCCACUGAGUUGGUUUCUUCUCUUGCAGAAACUAGGCCAGAGGACAGCAGAGAGGAGUUCUAUGGAGAAGACUUGUUCCAUAGAGAACACUCCAUGUAGCAAAGGCAAGAGAGAGGAACACAGACAGAGGGAAGGGUAUGGAGACUCGCAUGUCAGCACUCUGUGGUCAGAGGUUGACAGUCCUCGGGGCCCUGUAUACCCACUCUAGAGUAAUCCCUGCUGUGCCAGUGCCCCGGGGAGAAGGCAUACCUACAGAUUUUGCAGGGGUCUGUGCCUUGCUGGGAUUGGCUGUGCUCUUGUCUGCCCUCAGGGGUUUCUAGGGACCUAGGACAUGAAGGACCUAAAGUCUCUUGCUCAGGACAGGCAGGUGUCUUUGCUGUCUCUGGGCCUCUUGGCACCACUGCAGUACCACUCAGCUUCCCGUGAUAUUCUCUGUCCCCUCAGGGGUUCACCCACACAGUCUUCCACCUAGGUGUGUGGGAGGAGAGGAGCUGCCUGCCCUCCACCUUCCUGUGUCAGACUCAACCCUCUACCACUGCAGCAGCCAAAGAGCAUCCUGGGAAUAGGGGCCAGGGGAUUCUGUCAUCCACAGCCCUGAUCUCUCUGGAGGUCAAGGAUAGCAGCAUAGCUGAAUAAGAGACCAGCACUUGCAGUGCAGAUAUUGAGAUCACAACAAGGGUUUUAUACAAAAUCUUGGAGGAAAAGGCACAUCCCUGGGGCCAGAUCGUUCUUCCUCUAUAUCCCAAGAAAAUAGAAACCAUUUUCUUGCUGCAAGGUAAAAUGUGACAACCACCCCCCCUCCCAACACAUACAUACUUGAGACAGAGGAUCCAUCCAUGUGACUCUGAUGGAAACCAGGGUCACUGGCCAUCCUCUCUCUCUUUCUCUAUAAUUAAGCCGCUUCUCACGUCUGCGAUUUAUGUGUCCUUCAUAAUGAUUCGUUGUCCUGAUGGGACUUGCCUGGAAUUUCUUUCAAUUCCAUGUAAAUAUUUCUAAACAUAAAUAUUAAUAAAUCACACGCUGUCAGGUGCUUGAUCCCUUCCACGCCUCACAGGUGGUAGCUCCAGGCCCUUUCUGGUUUUCAUCUGAGACAAACUCCAGAGGACUGCUGAAUUCAGAUCAGCUUCUGUGGGCCUCACAGAGAACUUUCACUCUCUUCUGACAAGCCAACUCUGACAGCAUAUUAAGAGGUGCGUACUCAAACAUGGACUUCUAAAGACCCUGCAUGAGCAUGUUCAAUAAACAAAAAAAGAAUGCUCUCAAAGGCACGCAAGCAAACUGCCGGGGAGUCGCCAUGUGUACAUCUAACAGGCAACUACCAUUAAUCUUUAAAUUAUGGGAACAAUUAAUCAAAAUGACUAUAAGACACGGCCAUAGAUCUUACAGAAAAAUCUAAUAAAAAUGGUUAGAUAAGACACACGAAGCCCAACUAUAUACUUUCAUCUUGAUUGAUCCUGAUUAAUAACCGUAAUGUGGAAUCUGUGCGCCUUCCUGGUGGGAAGCUCUGUGGCUUUGUGACUGGCAGAACUAUGUGCCAGGGGCUCUGUGAGGUCAGGGUUUUUGUUAAGUUUUAGGUCACCUCAGAAUUUUCUUUUCCUCAGCAGACACUGCUGAGAGGGAAGAGGAACAAGAGAAGGCAUCUCAGUGCAGAGGCUGUGAUGCUCUCUUGCUGGGGCUUCAUUUUUCACAUCCUUGUACUACAGGUGGUAUGAACCCACUCAUAGAGAAACAUGGUUUCCCUGAGACUCAAAAAAAUGGCAGUGAGGUUGGUUCUACCAGUAGGUUGUGGUAGUCUUGUGAAGCCAGUAUGGAUCUUCUAUCCCAUUUCUCUACAGUAGAUUAGCUCCUCAGUACCUGAGGUCCGACAUGCAAUGCAGUACAUUCAGACUUACUGGGAAGUCUGAAGCAUCACCAUUGUGGCCAACUCUUGGGGGGGGGGGGAAGAAGAGCAUGCAGCAGAGCGAUGAGCUUGACAUCUUGCUCUUUUCUAGCAACGAGGACCUUCCUAAAGGCAACUCUUGGUGUUGAGGUAGGGUACCCACACUUGGGACAUGGGUGUCUCUACAGGCACUUUUGUGCAGUAACACUCAUUUCUCAGGGUGCCUACUGUGGUCAGUUGACAGGAAUCGAGGUUCUGGCCCCAGAGUGGGUAUGUUUCCAUCCUAUCCUGUCAUUUCUACCAGCUCUCUACCUGGCCCUGCCAAAGCUUGUGUAGGGGGAAGGGACAGGUUAGGGACAGGAGAUGGCAUGGAGAUGUCCUGAAUCCCCGUACUGACCUCACAUAAGGAAGUACAUGGAAGGAAGAGGGCUCUGCCAAGAAAGGAAAUUCUAAGGUUGGAAAAACUCAAGACUGAGCUGUACCAAGGGGGCCUCAAACUGGACUCCCAGGUCUUAAAGUCUAUGCCGCUGACUUUUUUGACUUAGGACCUUCACCAUCACCCACAAGAAGGAAUGCAGUUCCCUUCUAGCUCUCCCACACAAAGGGUAGCAUUUUAGAAUAAAACAGCCCAGCAAGGAGAUCUCCAGGUAUCUGAGGAAGAGCCAUUAGGUGUGAAACUGUGGAGUGCACCUGUGUACCAACAGAAGUUGGAGUUCUGCCUGGGGAACCCACAUUCAUUUCCUAGACGCCACUCCAAGCACAUCAAGGCCAUGUGCUGAUGCUUGAAGGUUUCGGUGUUCAAGAGUUGGUGGCAUGUGACAUCAGGUAUGACUUAGGACAGAGAUUGUCUAUAGUCAUCAAACUUAGCCAGACUUCAUGGUACUUGUCUGUUAUCUUUACACUCCAGAGAGUGAGACAGUAGGAUGACCAGUUAAGGGGCCUGUGUGAACUAUAUACAUCAAGACGCCCAGUCUCAAAACAUCAAGAUAAACAACAUAAAAAUGUCACUGAAGCAUUCCUGAAGGAAGCAGAGGAAGAGGGUAGACUGGGAG
rnacentral:lncRNA from 1 species